rnacentral:ncRNA from 2 species
GGGCGUUCCGAGGGGGGCUCCAGGCUGGAGCUGAGAUACCGCACCCUCGCAAGCGGCGAAUUCGCCCUUCGAGACCGCGGUAACCCUUUGAACCUGAUCCGGGUCAUGCCGGCGAAGGGACAGGGAUGCAUACCGCAA